rnacentral:rRNA from 1 species
UGGAUGAGUGGCGAACGGGUGAGUAUCACGUGAGUAACCUGCCCCUGACUUCGGGAUAAGCCUGGGAAACUGGGUCUAAUACCGGAUAUGACCAUCUUUCGCAUGUUGGGUGGUGGAAAGUUUUUCGGUUGGGGAUGGGCUCGCGGCCUAUCAGUUUGUUGGUGGGGUAAUGGCCUACCAAGACGACGACGGGUAGCCGGCCUGAGAGGGCGACCGGCCACACUGGGACUGAGACACGGCCCAG